rnacentral:lncRNA from 1 species
CUUCACUCAUCUGGUUUACUCCAUCAUGGGUGUUGGUCAGCCUGUGAUGGGCUCUAUAAGUGACUGCCACCAGAUACAGUAUAUCCUUCGUGUGGUAUAACUGCUUAAUCUAUCUAAUCUAACCUAUCUCCUUGCCGAAUUUAAAACCCAUAUCUGUAUCUAGCAGUUAGAAUUGGAAUUUCUAUUACAUUACUGAACAUGUAUAGCCUACAGUAUAUGAGAUAUUAAUGUAUAUAUACAUAUAUUGCAUAUUUUACACCCUCUCCAAAUCAGAGAGAUUAUUAAGAGACGGGGCCAGUUCCAACCAUGGCUAUACCCAUACCCUUAGAAGAGGCCGGAUGUUGAAGGACAGGGAUCGUCGAGCCGGGCCCAGCACCCCGGAAAAACUUUUCAGGAGUUACCAGAUCCGGGACGCGAAACUCGGGUAUGAUAGCGUUACAUUCGGGCAUCUGGCCGCCGAUAUUAGUAUAUUAUAUACAUUUCUAAAUAUUUAAAUGAAAGAUAAUUAGUCAUCAUUCUAUCUUUGAUAUUAUUUGAUUAGCGUCUAAAUAUUCUUAUUAAAAAUCCAUAUAAUAAGCUUAUUUUGUCUAAAUAAUGUAUUUUUGUGGUUAGAUUUUUUGUCAGUGUUGAAAAAAUUUUCCAUGUUUAGGAAGAUGUCUGUUUUAUAUGCAGAGAUUCUCAAAGAAAACUUUUACAUUACAACCAAUAUACAACCACGAGAAGUUGCAAAUAGUCGCGUUGAUCUUUCGGCUGCGUUUCUUUAUGAAGCAGGUGUACAACGUAACUGACAUCAUCCAGAAUUAUAGCUGCAAGUCGCGACAUGGUAAUUUACAAACGAUCUGCUGUAGCACAAUGUGGAGGACGCUAUCUAUGCAAUAACUAGUAUAGUAGCAGAAAAAUAUUUUGAUGAAGUUUGAC